rnacentral:rRNA from 1 species
GAUGAACGCUGGCGGCGUGCCUAAUACAUGCAAGUCGAGCGAACGGACGAGAAGCUUGCUUUUCUGAUGUUAUCGGCGGACGGGUGAGUAACACGUGGAUAACCUACCUAUAAGACUGGGAUAACUUCGGGAAACCGGAGCUAAUACCGGAUAAUAUUUUGAACCGCAUGGUUCAAAAGUGAAAGACGGUCUUGCUGUCACUUAUAGAUGGAUCCGCGCUGCAUUAGCUAGUUGGUAAGGUAACGGCUUACCAAGGCAACGAUGCAUAGCCGACCUGAGAGGGUGAUCGGCCACACUGGAACUGAGACACGGCCCAGACUCCGACGGGAGGCAGCAGUAGGGAAUCUUCCGCGAUGGGCGAAAGCCGGACGGAGCAACGUCGCGUGAGUGAUGAAGGUCUUCGGAUCGUAAAACUCUGUUAUUAGGGAAGAACAUAUGUGUAAGUAACUGUGCACAUCUUGACGGUACCUAAUCAGAAAGCCACGGCUAACUCCGUG